AUACACUAUCAUUCUGCCAGCGAGCACUGUUUGUCAGUCAGUGUGGCUAGCUGCACUUCUCACUGCUGACAGUUGAGGGUAAAGUUAAAACUCCCUUGCCCAACCCAACUUCCUCUCGCAAAUAUUGUGAUCCCUGCUCAUUUGAUUUACACAAAGUGCUGUACUGCACUAUACAGAAUUUAAAUGCAGCAUUAAUCAAGAUAUAUUUUGCUACAUAUGGGUUAUACACAUUUUUAUGUGCUGCUCAUCAGAAUCACAAACUCCUGACUGCAUAUAGUUUUCUGCCCCUUUAUAUAGUUU